AUCACAUUUAGUAUCACGUCUAUCCACGAUGUAACACGACACCGCAUCAAGUAUGAAAGACGCGAAUUGGCGCUUCCAAUCUUCAGAGGGUUAAGCUUCAUAGCAACUUUUCUAGCUGACGACAAAAGGCCUGGCGCUCUUUGCUGUCCGCAUGCAACGAUCGCGUGCACGGGGCGAUGACUCGGGGACACGGGGUCACGGUGACCCGUGGCGUGGCACGUGAAAAGCGAUAAGAGUUCUGCCUAGACUUUAGACUGUAGCAGGAUGUGGCCAGGCUGAUGAACCCUCUGGCUCUGGCAACACGACCGGCAAUAAGUCAACAAGCUCAGCACUUAAGAACUUCUCAGCGAGAUGAUCCAGAUUGCCGAUGAUCGAUGCAUGUACGUAUCAUCCAAUAGAGAUGGCACGCAAAAUUGCAAACUUCAUUCACGACCAUAAUUGACCUGAUCAUAAUUCUUGAUCUUCAUUGAAUUAUUUACACGUACACGUUAGUACACUGGCAUAUUGCGAGAAAUAUGAUAAUUGAAAGGAAGAAGAAUCUCAUUGAAAAUAUGUCGUACGUAUCGUACAAAUCGCAACACUUUUCCUCUUGAAACUUAUUUUCAUUCUUACCACUAAAUUUCAUUAUCAACUGAUUUCCCCCUUUUUAUCAAGUUCCAUUUUUUAAAUUUUGAUUUUCCUCCACUCUGGUCAAACUUAUGGGGAGGAUACUUAAAACGUUGGGCUACUGCACGACUCUCCACUGUGUGUUUUCUAGUAAUAUACAGGGUGAGGCCCUUGACACGACUUAAAAUAACUCGCAAGUUAUUGGUCGUACGAAAAAGCGUAGACGGGUAAAUCAUCAAAUUUUGUGUAAUUGAUCCAACUUUAAGAAACAAAUAUUAAACGCUCCAUUUAAACAAAUUCAUACUGACCCUAAUAUCUCGCUAAAAAGCUAAGAUAAUAAAAAAACAAAUUAGAGCACUGUACGUCUGCCUAGAUGCCAUGCAAUUUUUCUUAAACAACACAUUUUCAUACAACGAAUAACUCAGCUGUUUAGAGUCGUCCACGUGUUAUUUUUCAAUUAAGUUAGAAAAAUUACCAAAUGUCCUGGACAAAUUGUAAAAUACAAAUUAAAAUAAAAAGUAAAACGUUAGGAGUCACCCUGUAUAUAUAAGGCGCACGUAUCAUCGGCUCAAGUCAAAAACGGCUCACUGAUAAUCAUAAUAUGAUAAUGAUAAUAAAAAAUACAUGAUACA
rnacentral:lncRNA from 1 species